ensembl:snRNA
UUUUGAUAUGAAAGGAGAGAAGGUUAGCACUCCCCUUGACGAGGAUGGAAGAGGCCCUCGCUUAUGUAAUCUUUACAACAUCUCUACGAGAAGAUAAUAUCCCCCAUUUUAU